GCACUUCAGGUCUGGGUUCACAUUGAGCUACCUGAGAGGAGCUGGGAACGUGCUGUUUCUCAUCAUUUCCACCCAGCAAGAGAAUUGAAGAGAAAGAGCUACACCCAAGCCAAUUAUGGCAGGGUCCUUGGGGGCUGUUAUGUAAUCUUCCAGAGACAGUGGAAUGGAGUGGGCCUUGAGUUCCAGUGGGCACACUGGCUGAAGUCUUUUCUGUACUCCAGGUCUUGGGCCAUCGUGGUGGAGCAAGCUCUCUCAUUGCUGGAGAAAGUCCUUUGGCAGAGAAGAAGCUUACAGCAUGCUGGGACCUGCCUGCUGCACCUGUGGGGGGAUUUAGUGCCUUUCAUUGGCUGAGCUCAACUGGAAGCAGAAGGAAACGUUGCCUGGAUAAUGCAGUCCACAGGGGUCUGUCUUCUGAAGGACAGCAUGGGGCAAAGAGAGCCAGAGGAUGGGGCAGAGAGGUGGCAAUGAGAACACAGUCUGACUGAUUGCUUCCAGAAUGCCUCCCCCCUUUCCAUCCAAUCUCACAGUCGUCAUCUUUGUUACAGCAUCAUCAUUCUACCCGUGGACUAUUGGGACAACCUCCUAACACAUCUCCCUAUCUCCAAUCCACCAAUACUAAUGCCUGUGACCCAGACUGAGUCCUACCACUUCCCUUUCAGAGAACUCUGGUGUUUCUCAUUCUCUACUCCUUACUGAAGAUGGCCAGAUGAAAGGCAAUUUAGGGGAUAAAAAGACAAUUCUGAGACUUCACAUCUUAUUUCUAAAAAGG